CAUAGUUCUGUCUUGGCUCACUUGCAUUGUGCUAGAGCCAAGAGCGGGACAAAAGCCACAGCAAACACUGCCCUCUUUCGUCCGAUUGCGUCUCUGCCACUUCUCCGCGGGCCAGGCAGGCAAAAGGGAAGGUUAUAAACGCUGAGAGAGCCUUGGCUUGUCUUUCCAUCUCCGUGGUUUCUCCGUGCGACUGCGAGGCCUCGGCAACGGGGAACAUCUUUAUUUUGGUGUCAUAAAUAUCUCAACUUAUCCAAGGCUGCUACUCUUGCCUGACGCUUGCUCCGUUCUGAGCUCGGAAGAGUGGGUGUGAAGCAGAAAAGAGCCCUCAUUGUUUAAGGUCUCUCAGCUCCGCUUGGAUUGAGCUCUGAGCUCAAGAUAAAAACCCCAGAAAGUGACACGUCAGCAGCCACAGAGAGGAUCUCUUCUGCCUUCCCAACCGCUCGUUUGGAAGAGAAGGGUUUUCUCUUUGUGGUUUGUGGAAUUCUUUCCUCAUAAUUGGGUCAUGAUGCUCAUCAGUAUGUUGUUUGGGGAUGAACUGUGUGGCCCCCCAAAUAGUGCUAUAGUGCUUGAUCAGGUCUGUUGAGGCAAUCUACUGCUGCAAGGCCCGCAAGAGAAAGACAUCGCUGCUUGUGGGCUGAUUUGAUUUGAUUUACACAGGUCGAUUGCAUUUCAAUCACUCGCAGUCUCAGCGGGGCAGGGCUGCCACAAGCUCGGGACCAGCGCCUGGGCCAGGCUGCAUCCCAGGGGCUCAUCCUGGAAUCAGAGCUGUUGAUGGAAGCUUUACCGUAUUUCUCCUGCUAUUGCCUCCUCAAUCCUUGACUCUUGCAGGGCUAGACUGCUGCGCUCUGGCGCCAGGAUUCCCAGUCCCCGCUGGAUACAGCCACAAUAACAAGAGCCCGAGCAGGCACCCAUAAUGGAUAACGACUGUUUGGUUGGCCUUUCCACGAAGAUCUGGAGUCUGCCAAACACAAAUGCUGAUUUAGAACUCAUCUAGGAAUCCACCCUGGCCUGGGGUCCCGGUGUUUGGAGAUGUUUUUUACAGCCUGGCUUAAGACUAGGCAGCACCAAACAAAUAAAUGGAAAGUUCAGAGUUGUGGUGUGUCAGGGACAGCAGGUUCUGUGUGGGCAGUGAAGUGAGCUAGGCAGGGAACCUCUGCUGGCACUGCUGUCUGACAGACCACAUUUUCUAGUUUGGCUUUGAAAUUUGAAUGAAAAAUGUGUAAUAAAUGUGGUGUCUGGAGAGGAGAGUUCAGAGACCUCUGUGAACCAGG